AUGAAGAACGCAGCGAAAUGCGAUAAGUAAUGCGAAUUGCAGAAUUUCCGUGAGUCAUCGAAUCUUUGAACGCACAUUGCGCCCCUUGGUAUUCCAUGGGGCAUGCCUGUUCGAGCGUCAUUUGUACCUUCAAGCUCUGCUUGGUGUUGGGUGUUUGUCUCGCCUCUGCGCGUAGACUCGCCUCAAAACAAUUGGCAGCCGGCGUAUUGAUUUCGGAGCGCAGUACAUCUCGCGCUUUGCACUCAUAACGACGACGUCCAAAAGUACAUUUUUACACUCUUGACCUCGGAUCAGGUAGGGAUACCCGCUGAACUUAAGCAUAUCAAUAAGCGGAGGA
rnacentral:misc_RNA from 1 species